rnacentral:rRNA from 1 species
GUGCCAGCAGCCGCGGUAACACGUAGGACGCAAGCGUUAUCCGGAAUUAUUGGGCGUAAAGCGCGCGCAGGCGGUUCCUUAAGUCUGAUGUGAAAGCCCACGGCUCAACCGUGGAGGGUCAUUGGAAACUGGGGGACUUGAGUGCAGGAGAGAAGAGUGGAAUUCCACGUGUAGCGGUGAAAUGCGUAGAGAUGUGGAGGAACACCAGUGGCGAAGGCGACUCUUUGGCCUGUAACUGACGCCGAGGCGCGAAAGCGUGGGGAGCAAACAGGAUUAGAUACCCUGGUAGUCCACGCCGUAAACGAUGAGUGCUAAGUGUUAGAGGGUUUCCGCCCUUUAGUGCUGAAGUAAACGCAUUAAGCACUCCGCCUGGGGAGUACGGCCGCAAGGCUGAAACUCAAAGAAAUUGACGGGA